rnacentral:rRNA from 1 species
GAACUUAGCAGAGAUGCUUUGGUGCCUUCGGGAACUCUGAGACAGGUGCUGCAUGGCUGUCGUCAGCUCGUGUUGUGAAAUGUUGGGUUAAGUCCCGCAACGAGCGCAACCCUUAUCCUUUGUUGCCAGCGAUUCGGUCGGGAACUCAAAGGAGACUGCCAGUGAUAAACUGGAGGAAGGUGGGGAUGACGUCAAGUCAUCAUGGCCCUUACGAGUAGGGCUACACACGUGCUACAAUGGCGCAUACAAAGAGAAGCGACCUCGCGAGAGCAAGCGGACCUCAUAAAGUGCGUCGUAGUCCGGAUUGGAGUCUGCAACUCGACUCCAUGAAGUCGGAAUCGCUAGUAAUCGUAGAUCAGAAUGCUACGGUGAAUACGUUCCCGGGCCUUGUACACACCGCCCGUCACACCAUGGGAGUGGGUUGCAAAAGAAGUAGGUAGCUUAACUUUCGGGAGGGCGCUUACCACUUUGUGAUUCAUGACUGGGGUGAAGUCGUAACAAGGUAGGCGUAGUGCU